GCUGGCGGCAGGCCUAACACAUGCAAGUCGAACGCUCGUAGCAAUACGAGAGUGGCAGACGGGUGAGUAACACGUGGGAACCUUCCCUAUGGUUCGGAAUAGCCCAGGGAAACUUGGGGUAAUACCGGAUAAGCCCUUACGGGGAAAGAUUUAUCGCCAUUGGAUGGGCCCGCGUCGGAUUAGCUAGUUGGUGGGGUAACGGCUCACCAAGGCGACGAUCCGUAGCUGGUCUGAGAGGAUGAUCAGCCACACUGGGACUGAGACACGGCCCAGACUCCUACGGGAGGCAGCAGUGGGGAAUAUUGGACAAUGGGCGCAAGCCUGAUCCAGCCAUGCCGCGUGAGUGACGAAGGCCUUAGGGUUGUAAAGCUCUUUUGGCGGGGAAGAUAAUGACGGUACCCGCAGAAUAAGCUCCGGCUAACUUCGUGCCAGCAGCCGCGGUAAUACGAAGGGAGCUAGCGUUGUUCGGAAUCACUGGGCGUAAAGCGCACGUAGGCGGAUGUGUCAGUCAGGGGUGAAAUCCCGGAGCUCAACUUCGGAACUGCCUUUGAUACAGCACGUCUUGAGUCCGGAAGAGGUGGGUUGGAAUUCCUAGUGUANANGUGAAAUUCGUANAUAUUAGGAAGAACACCGGUGGCGAAGGCGGCCCACUGGUCCGGUACUGACGCUGAGUGC
rnacentral:rRNA from 1 species